AUGAUUCAUGGAUAUCCUGGUUCUCGGUCUCCAUGUUGGCUGCAAAACCCCACUCUCAUUAAUUUGACAUAUGUUUCCAUACGCAAUUGUGAAAGAUUGCAGCAUCUUCCACCUCUUGGUCAGUUACAUUCUCUACAAUAUAUUUACAUAAUUAACUUGGAAUUAGUAGAGGGUGUGGAUUCUUUGUUUUAUGGAAGUGAAAAGCCUUGUGAAUUGCAAUAUCUGAAGGUGCUAGAGAUUGAAAGCAUGCCAAGAUGCCUGGAAUGGGUUGGAUUGGAGGGUAAGAAUGUAUUCCCUAGGCUUGAGAUGCUAAAAGUUCGUGACUGUGAUGCGCUGAGAACAUUGCCAAGUGUACCUACCAGUAUUCGCCAUGUUGAAAUCCAUAAAGCUGGUCUGUUGGCUAUGCCAGAAUAUUUUGGUAGUUCUGAUACAACCUCGUCACCAUCAUUGGACCUAGCUCUCUCUAAGCUCAUGAUUUGA
rnacentral:rRNA from 1 species